rnacentral:tRNA from 1 species
GGUGAUGUAGCUCAGUUGGUCAGAGCACUACGCUUUUAACGUAGGUUUUUGGAAACAGGCUCAAAAUCU